rnacentral:misc_RNA from 1 species
AACGCACAUUGCGCCCUUUGGCAUUCCGAAGGGCAUGCCUGUCCGAGCGUCAUUAUCCUCCCUCAAACCCCCGGGUUUGGUGUUGGACCGCGUUGGCCCUUAACCGGCCAACUGGUCUCAAAGACAAUGACGGCGUCCCCGGGACCCUCUUUGCACUGAGCUUUUCGGAGCACGCAGGGAGUUUCAAGGGCCCAGGGACCCGGUCGCCUCUAAACUAUUUUUCAGGUUGACCUCGGAUCAGGUAGGAAUACCCGCUGAACUUAA